GACGAACCGUGCGAACGUUGUUCGGAUUCACUGGGCUUAAAGGGCGCGUAGGCGGGCGGUCAAGUCAAGGGUGAAAUCUUUCAGCUCAACUGGAAAAGUGCCUUUGAUACUGAUCGUCUUGAGGGAGGUAGGGGCAUGUGGAACUUCCGGUGGAGCGGUGAAAUGCGUAGAGAUCCGGAGGAACACCGACGGCGAAGGCAGCGCCCUGGACGAGACCUGACGCUCAGGCACGAAAGCUGGGGGAGCAAACAGG
rnacentral:rRNA from 1 species